UGGGGAAUAUUGCACAAUGGGCGAAAGCCUGAUGCAGCAACGCCGCGUGAGCGAUGAAGGCCUUCGGGUCGUAAAGCUCUGUCCUCAAGGAAGAUAAUGACGGUACUUGAGGAGGAAGCCCCGGCUAACUACGUGCCAGCAGCCGCGGUAAUACGUAGGGGGCAAGCGUUAUCCGGAAUUACUGGGUGUAAAGGGAGCGUAGGCGGCAUGGUAAGUAAGGUGUGAAAGCCUUGGGCUUAACCCGAGGAUUGCACUUUAAACUAUCAAGCUAGAGUACAGGAGAGGUAAGUGGAAUUCCUAGUGUAGCGGUGAAAUGCGUAGAUAUUAGGAAGAACACCAGUGGCGAAGGCGACUUACUGGACUGAAACUGACGCUGAGGCUCGAAAGCGUGGGGAGCAAACAGG
rnacentral:rRNA from 1 species